AGACAGAGGGUGCAAACGUUGUUCGGAAUUACUGGGCGUAAAGCGCGUGUAGGCUGUUCUGCAAGUCGGGUGUGAAAGCCCAGGGCUCAACCCUGGAAGUGCACUCGAAACUGCAAGACUUGAAUCUCGGAGAGGGUGGCGGAAUUCUGGGUGUAGAGGUGAAAUUCGUAGAUAUCCAGAGGAACACCGGCGGCGAAGGCGGCCACCUGGACGAGUAUUGACGCUGAGACGCGAAAGCGUGGGGAGCAAACAGGAUUAGAAACCCUAGUAGUCC
rnacentral:rRNA from 1 species